rnacentral:rRNA from 1 species
UACGGAGGGGGCUAGCGUUGUUCGGAAUUACUGGGCGUAAAGCGCACGUAGGCGGCUUUGCAAGUUAGGGGUGAAAUCCCAGAGCUCAACUCUGGAACUGCCUUUAAUACUGGGUAUCUCGAGUCCGAGAGAGGUGAGUGGAAUUCCGAGUGUAGAGGUGAAAUUCGUAGAUAUUCGGAGGAACACCAGUGGCGAAGGCGGCUCACUGGCUCGGUACUGACGCUGAGGUGCGAAAGCGUGGGGAGCAAACAGG